GAAUGUUUGUGAAAAAAGUGACUGUGUUCAUUUUGUAGUAGUAUGUAAAGUGAAGAAAGAACAUAAAAAUUUUAAUCAUUGGAAUUGAUACUUUUUGUUGGGGGUGGGAAUCUGUGCCUGUUGUAGUCCAGUAUCUUCCCAUCAGACCUAACCCCAUUUCAUCUUGGCCCAGCCCAUCCCAUUCCUGAUUUGUAAUCCAGAUAUGAAUGUACAAAUAAUAUAUGUAUAUUUGAAUUAAAAUAUUAAUAUAUAGCAUGUCCACAAAAUAAGCAGAGAGAUGUGUAUAGAUGAAUUUAAUAUGAAAUAUGUUAGUAUGAAAAUAUGUCUUACGCAUGCAAUUGUAACAUACAAUAGUAACACUUUAUAAGAAUUGAUAAAAGUACACUUCUUUGUAAGUAAAUAUAUGUAUAUAAUAGAAAAGGUUGAAAACAUGAGUUUUGGGGAGACGUUUAUAAUAUUGUUAUGGAUUCAGUAUUAUCUUAUAUGGAAUAAUUAUUCAAUCUGGAACCACUCUUGUGUAGAGUAUGGGAAUAAAAUAAGCAGAGAAUGGAUUUGUAUAAAGGAAUUCAAUAUGAAAUAAUUGUUCAUGUGAAAAUAUGUUUUAUUAAUGCAAUGAACAUUUGCUAUAGUUAAACUUGAUUAGAAGUAGUAAAAGUACAUUUCUUUGUAAAAAUGUGUAUAAUUGAUAGAAAAGGUCAGUAGACUGCCAGUGACAACUGACUUUAUGUCUCAUUCAUAUGUAUAAUCAACGAUUGAUUGGACUUUAUUAUGAAGCAGAAAAGGAAUAUAAAAAUGCAAUAGAAAGGAUUUAAUAUGAAGCAAGGAAAGAUCAUCUAAAUGUUAUAAAAAGUGACAUAAUUAAAAAUGGUAAUUAUUAGAAUUGAUACUUUUAUAGGGGUGGGAAUCUCUGUCCUGUCUAUACCAUUUAUUCCGAUUCAUCCUAUCGAAUUCCAACUUGACCCUGCCCAUCCCAUUUCUGAUUGGUUACCCAGAUAUGAUUGUAUAAAUAAUAAAUAAUAUAGCAUACUUGAAUUAAAAUAUUAAUGUGGAGCAUGGCCAAGAAAUAAGAGAGAAGAUGUGUAUAAAUCAAUUUAAUAUGAAAUAUGUUAGUGUGAAAUCAUGUCUUAUUCAUCCAAUUGACAAAUUCUAUAUUCACAUGUUAUAUGAAGUGUUAAUAGUACACUUCUUUUUAAGUAAAUGUAUGUAUAUAAUAGAAAAGGUUGAAAACAUGAAUUUUUUUAAACAUUCUUAAUAUUAUUAUAAAUAGUUUAUUAUCUGAAGUGGAAUAGUUAUUCAAUCUGUAACCACACUUGAACAGUUUUCAGAAGUUACACUCCAACGAUAUUUUGAAAAGUCUGGAAAAAGAAUUGUUUGAAAGGUAAUAUGUUAUUCUACUUGGUAUAAUAUGCAGAAUUACAGAAUUAAUUUAUAUUUCUUGUUGCCAUGCUUAUUUACAGUACUUAUACCAGUCCAUUUUUUUUUCAGUUUGAGCUGCAAGUUUAAGCAGGAAAAUGGUGUCAAAUGUCAAGGCAAGCCAAAGAAGCAGUACUGGAUUUUCCCUGGAAAAUUUGAGCUGCAAGGUGAAGCAGGAAAAUGGUGUCAAGUGUCAAGGCAAGCCAAAGAAGCAGUACUGGAUUUUCCCCAGAAAAGUAUGAAGCAUGUUUGUGAAAAAAGUGACUGUUUAUUUGUAGUAUUAAAGUGAAGAAAGAAGAUAAAAAAAUUUAACUAUUGGAAUUGAUACUUUUUGUGGGGGUGGGAAUCUUUGUCCCUUGUAGUCAAGUUCCUUCCCAUCAAUCCUAACCCCAUUUCAUCUUGACCCAACCCAUCCCAUUCCUGAUUUGUAAUCAAGAUAUGAAUGUACAAAUAAUAUAAAUCGUAUUUGAAUUAGAAUUAUAUAGGGUGCCCGCUCGUGAUGAAAUAAUGCACGGAGGGGCACCUGGGAUCUUCCUCCACUAUUAAAGCUGGAAAGUCACCAUAUGGCCUAUCAUGUGUCAACAUUAAAUCCAAAAAAAUAUAUAUGUAUUAAUAUAGAGCAUGGCCACACAAAAAGCAGAGAGAUGUGUAUAGAUGAAUUUAAUAUGAAAUAUGUUAGUAUCAAAAUAUGUCUUAUGCAUGCAAUUGACACAUACAAUAGUAACACUUUAUAAGAAUUGAUAAAAGUACACUUCUUUGUAAGUAAAUAUAAUUAUGUAUAUGAUAGGAAAGGUUGAAAACAUGAGAUUUUGGAGAGGUUUAUAAUAUUGUUAUGGAUUCAGUCUAUUAUCUUAUAUGGAAUAAUUAUUGAAUCUGGAACCACUCUUGUGUAGAGCAUGGGAACAAAAUAAGCAGAGUAUGGAUUUGUAUAAAUGAAUUCAAUAUGAAAUAAUUGUUCAUGUGAAAAUAUGUCUUAUUAAUGCAAUGAACAUUACAUUUUGCUAUAGUUAAACUUGAUUAGAAGUGGUAAAAGUACAUUUCUUUGUAAAAUGUAUAUAUGAUAGAAAAGGUCAAUAGACUGCCAAUGUCAGUGAUUAAUGGACUUUAUUAUGAAACAGAAAAGGAAUACAGAAGUGCACUAGAAAGGAUUUAAUAUGAAGCAAGGAAAGAUCAUCUAAAUGUUAUAAAAGUGACAUAAUUAAAAAUGUUAAUUAUUAGAAUUGAUACUUUUUGUGGGGGUGGGAAUCUCUGUCCUGUCUAUACCAUUUAUUCCAAUUCAUCCUAUCCAAUUCCAACUUGACCCUGCCUACCUGCACAUCCCAUUUCUGAUUGGUUACCCAGAUAUGAUUGUAUAAAUAAUACAUAAUAUAGCAUACUUGAAUUAAAAUAUUAAUGUGGAGCAUGGCUAAAAAAUAAGAAGAGAAAAGAUGUGUAUAAAUCUAUUGAAUAUGAAAUAUGUUACACUCCAACGAUAUUUUGAAAAGUCUGGAAAAAUAGUUGUUUGAAAGGUAAUAUGUUAUUAUACUUGGUAUAAUAUGCAGAAUUACAGAUUUAAUUUAUAUUUCUUGUUGCCAUGCUUAUUUACAGUACUUAUACCAGUCCAUUUUUUUUCAGUUUGAGCUGCAAGUUUAAGCAGGAAAAUGAUGUCAAAUGUCAAGGCAAACCAAAGAAGCAGUACUGGAUUUUCCCUGGAAAAGUAUGAGGAAUGUUUGUGAAAAAAGUGACUGUGUUCAUUUGUAGUAUUUAAAGUGAAGAAAGAACAUAAAAAAAUAACUAUUGGAAUUGAUACUUUUUGUUGGGGGUGGGAAUCUGUGUCCUUUGUAGUCCAUUUCCUUCCCAUCUGUCCUAACCCCAUUUCAUCAUGGCCCAGCCCAUCCCAUUCCUGAUUUGUAAUCCAGAUAUGAAUGUACAAGUAAUGUAUGUAUAGAUGAAUUUAAUAUGAAAUAUGUUAGUAUGAAAAUAUGUCUUAUGCAUGCAAUUGACACAUACAAUAGUAAAAUAGAGAAAAGUGGAAACUUCACAGGUCGCCCAACACACACUUCAUAAGAAUUGAUAAAAGUACACUUCUUUGUAAGUAAAUAUAUGUAUAUGAUAGAAAGGGUUGAAAAUAUGGGUUUGGAGAGGUUUAUAAUAUUGUUAUGGAUUCAGUCUAUUAUCUUAUAUAGAAUAAUUAUUGAAUCUGAAACCACUCUUGUGUAGAGUAUGGGAACAAAAUAAGCAGAGAAUGGAUUUGUAUAAAGGAAUUCAAUAUGAAAUAAUUGUUCAUGUGAAAAUGUGUCUUAUUAAUGCAAUGAACAUUUGCUGUAGUUAAACUUGAUUAGAAGUGGUAAAAGUACAUUUCUUUGUGAAAAUGUAUAUAUGAUAGAAAAGGUCAUUAGACUGCCAAUGACAACUGACUACGUCCCAUUCAUAUGUAUAGUCAGUGAUUGAUUGGACUUUAUUAUGAAGCAGAAAAGGAAUAUAAAAAUGCAGUAGAAAGGAUUUAAUAUGAAGCAAGGAAAAUUCAUCUAAAUGUUUUAAAAAGUGAAUUAAAAAUGUUAAUUAUAAUUGAUACUUUUGUGGGGUGGGAAUCUCUGUCCUGUCUAUACCAUUUAUUCCGAUUCAUCUUAUCCAGUUCCAACUUGACCCUGCCCAUCCCAUUUCUGAUUGGUUACCCAGAUAUGAUUGUAUAAAUAAUACAUAAUGUAGCAUACUUGAAUUAAAAUAUUAAUGUGGAGCAUUGCCAGAAAAUAAGAGAGAAGAUGUGUAUAAAUCAAUUUAAUAUGAAAUAUGUUCACAUGUUAUACGAAGUGUUAAUAGUACACUUCUUUAUAAGUAAAUGCAUGUAUAUAAUAGAAAAGGUUGGAAACAUGAUUUUUUUUAAACAUUCUUAAUAUUAUUAUAAAUAGUUUAUUAUCUGAAGUGGAAUAGUUAUUCAAUCUGUAACCACACUUGAACAGUUUUCAGAAGUUAACACUCCAACGAUAUUUUGAAAAGUCUGGAAAAAGAAUUGUUUGAAAGGUAAUAUGUUAUUCUACUUGGUAUAAUAUGCAGAAUUACAGAAUUAAUUUAUAUUUCUUGUUGCCAUGCUUAUUUACAGUACUUAUACCAGUCCAUUUUUUUUUCAGUUUGAGCUGCAAGUUGAAGCAGGAAAAUGGUGUCAAGUGUCAAGGCAAGCCAAAGAAGCAGUACUGGAUUUUCCCCAGAAAAUAAUAUUUGCUGACCAUUGUUGAAGCUGUGGAUUUUCCCUGGGAAAAAAUGAAGAAUGUUUUCAAGAAGAGGCUGUAUUCAUUUGUAGUGUUUGAAGUGACGAAAGAAUAACAAAUUGAGACAGAAGACAAAACAUGUGGAAUGUGACAGCUGUAAAUGCUGGAAAUGUAAGUAGUAGGCUACAAGACAGGGACCAAAACCAAAUGAUAGGCACUGGUAUGUAUUGUUGUUUAUAAUUUUACUUGUAGUGUUGUUUAUAAAAGGUUUCAUUGAUAGUUAUGUUGACAAUGUCAGCUCUUUUAAAAAUGUUGUUGCUUUUUGUAAAAAUAGGGUGUUGAUGAUACCUAUUCUGUUUUUGGUAAAGGACAAUGAAUGCUAGGCAAGUUUCUCAAACAUAUCUUCUUUCCCUGACAAAAAACAUUGAUAUGAACAAAAAAAUUCAUUACUUCAGACAUGGAUAGAUGGUUUCCUGCAAAGAAGAAUGUAUAAUGUAACCUGCAGCCAGAGAGUUCGGAGAAAGGGAUCAGCUCAAAGAACAUUGGAGGGGUCUGAUGACAAUAUUGAUAUAGGUUAUGAAGAAGAUGAUAAGGAAAAUAGGCAGAGGUAAAGGAGACAAAUGAUGGUGCGCAAAAUAGAAAUAUCACAAGUUAACAGUCAAUAAGGAAAAUGACUCCAGUCAGUAACUCGACAAGUCGUGAGCUUGCAAAAUAUGUCACAGAAAGGCGGGUUUAUGGAUGCUGCAGAUUUACCCAGUCUUGCUUAAACCAGAAGUUGUCAAACUGCUUGCUGGAUUUCUAAAAAACUUCAAAGGAGUGAUCAGUACCAACCGUAGUUGUGCGUAUCCCUGGCACAUUCCGCUUCACUACACAAAGUGGCCACCAGAGCUCAAGUUAGAAAAAUCUUGUCCAGCUUUCACAGGUCAAACUGCUAGACAGAUUUUGAUGAAACUUCACAGGAGUGAUCAGUACAAAGCCUAGUUAUGCAUAUUGCUGACAUCUUCUACUUUGCUGCAGAAAAUGGCUGCCAGAGCUAAAGGUAUACAUUGGGGGGCAGACAUGUUUUUGUGUCAAAAACACCUAAUUAUUAUUUUUUUGUUUUAAUUCAUUUUAUUUUUUAACACUACCAUUACAAAAUAUUUAUAAGGUGCUGUAGUCAGAGUAGGGUUAUCACUAAACUUAACAUUUUGACACAGU